UCUUCCGUAGGUGAACCUGCGGAGGGAUCAUUACACAAAUAUGAAGGCGGUCCUGCAACCUCUUGGKGUUCCAACCUCUGUUGCAUUGGGCCGUUGUCCUCCGCGGCCGCCCCCCUCCCCGGGGGGGUGGCCAGCGCCCGCCAGAGGACCAUCAAACUCCAGUCAGUAAACGAUGCAGUCUGAAAAACAUUUAAUAAACUAAAACUUUCAACAACGGAUCUCUUGGUUCUGGCAUCGAUGAAGAACGCAGCGAAAUGCGAUAAGUAAUGUGAAUUGCAGAAUUCAGUGAAUCAUCGAAUCUUUGAACGCACAUUGCGCCCUUUGGUAUUCCGAAGGGCAUGCCUGUUCGAGCGUCAUUACAACCCUCAAGCUCUGCUUGGUAUUGGGCACCGUCCUUUGCGGGCGCGCCUCAAAGACCUCGGCGGUGGCGUCUUGCCUCAAGCGUAGUAGAACAUACAUCUCGCUUCGGAGCGCAGGGCGUCGCCCGCCGGACGAACCUUCUGAACUUUUCUCAAGGUUGACCUCGGAUCAGGUAGGGAUACCCGCUGAACUUAAGCAUAUCAAUAAGUCGGAGGA
rnacentral:rRNA from 1 species